rnacentral:rRNA from 1 species
CAGCUCCAAUAGCGUAUAUUAAAAUUGUUGCAGUUAAAAAGCUCGUAGUUGAAGUUCUGCURAAAGUAACCGGUCUGCUUUUAAUAAARGUGGUAUCUUGGUGUGUAUUUAGCAAUGAUGUCCUUUGAAGUGUUUUUUACUUUAUUGUAAUAAAGCAUAUUCAGGACUUUUACUUUGAGAAAAUUAGAGUGUUUCUAGCAGGCURACGCUUUGAAUACUGCAGCAUGGAAUAAUAAGAUAGGAUUUUAGUUCUACAUUAUUGGUUUUAAGAGCUAAAUUAAUGAUUGAUAGGGACAGUUGGGGGCAUUUGUAUUUAACUGUCAGAGGUGAAAUUCUU